rnacentral:lncRNA from 1 species
CACAGAUAACGCGCGAACACGCGAGCUCGUGUGACCGCGUCACUGCUCCUUGGAGAAGCCUCUCUCUUGUUCUCACUCAGCAGAGUUUACGGAGCACUCACUUGGUGACAAACUCUCGGAAUAAACAAGCUCUUCACUUCCUUCAAGGAGUUGAAGGUCGUGGAGGAGAAAAUAGACAUGAAAACAAACACCUGCCAGACCGUGUGCAGGCUGUUCCCCUGGGGCCUUGUAGAAGCUGUGAUGGGAUGGAGGAGGAGGAGACGGAAGAGAUGCUCCAGCUGGAUGCCGUCCUCCCCGGGAGGGAAGGUGCUGAGUCCCCGUGGAGACAGAGCUAUCUCUGCUGACGAGAGGCAUCACCCACCCAAGAGGACGUUUCAUGCAUCUGCAACCCACAGACAACCCUUAAGGAGACUUUGUUCCUGGGUCCCAUCGAGUGCGUCAACAGCACUUGUCUGCGAGCUGGGAGAGGGUGUGGCUUUUGGUGUUGCAGGGCUUUACAAGAGGGCCUGAAAAGCAAGAGGGAGUGAGGCAAGGGUGUCUGGGCUCUUUGUCCCUAAGUUGGCCUACAGCUGAGCCCUCCCAACUGCAAUCUCCAAGGGUGUUGACAUCUAGGAGGUGCCAAGGUCAGCAGACAAAGCACAGGAGGUCCAGGCAGGCAUCUGGCUGUGGCCUGGAACAGCCCAGGUGGGACAGGAGGCCCCGCUGGACAUGGCAUUUUGAGGGAGUGACCCUGCAGGGGGGUGGCCUCCUGGAGACACACCCUCACUUGAGGUGCUGCUCAUCAUACCCAGGGACACCCUAGAUUCUCCAGAGUUCUAGGUCACCUUCUGGGAAUUUUGGAGUGGGUGGUAGUGUGACUCCACUGUUGUCUUUGUCCUGUGGGGACCAAGCUGCCCUGCCCUCUGAGACGGAAAGGCUCGUUGGGGAUGAAUCGCCUGCUGAGGUUCCUGCUCUUCCCCAUGGGGCCAAGGCUUCCCUGGGCACAGUGGGGAGGCCCCACCCUCCCCACCUUCCCAAGAUGCAGGGGACACUGGUGAUGGACAAGCACAGGGGCUGGAGCACGUGGUGCUCGGGCAGGAG